rnacentral:rRNA from 1 species
AGAACGAACGCUGGCGGCAUGCCUAAUACAUGCAAGUCGAACGAACUCUUCGGAGUUAGUGGCGCACGGGUGCGUAACGCGUGGGAAUCUGCCCCUUGGUUCGGAAUAACAGUUGGAAACGACUGCUAAUACCGGAUGAUGACGAAAGUCCAAAGAUUUAUCGCCAAGGGAUGAGCCCGCGUAGGAUUAGCUAGUUGGUGAGGUAAAGGCUCACCAAGGUAACGAUCCUUAGCUGGUCUGAGAGGAUGAUCAGCCACACUGGGACUGAGACACGGCCCAGACUCCUACGGGAGGCAGCAGUAGGGAAUAUUGGACAAGU